rnacentral:rRNA from 1 species
CUACGGGCGGCACCAGGCGCGAAACCUUUACAAUGCACGAAAGUGUGAUAAGGGAAUCCCUAGUGCUUAUACUCUGUAUAAGCUUUUUUCAAGGAUAAAUACCUUGGAGAAUAAGUGGUGGGCAAGACUGGUGCCAGCCGCCGCGGUAACACCAGCGCCACAAGUGGGGGUCGCAUUUAUUGGGCCUAAAGCGUCCGUAGCUGGUCAAAUAAAUCUCUUGUGAAAUCGUGGAGCUUAACUUCACGGCGUGCAGGAGACACUAUUCGACUUGGAACUGGGAGAAGUCAGAGGUAUUUUGGGGGGAGCGGUAAAAUGUUAUAAUCCCUGAAGGACCACCGAUAGCGAAGGCGUCUGACUAGAACGGAUUCGACAGUGAGGGACGAAAGCCAGGGGAGCGAACCGGAUUAGAUACCCGCGUAGUC